rnacentral:lncRNA from 1 species
UUUUGUAAAUGGUAAAUCCAAUCAAUAAAUUAUGUGAAUGGUAAUUUUCAAAUUGCAGCUUAAAAAAUUGGAGUCAAACUUAAAAUUGCUUCAGUCUCUCUCUUUCUCUAGAAUAUUGAAAUAUCUUUCACUGUGAUUUUUGCUAUUUUCAUGAACAUCUGAUUUUUUUUUUUGGGGAGAAAGUUAGCUGAUGUGCUAAUUCUUCAGCCUGUGUUUUUCAAAAUUUUGGAUGGG